UCAAAUCAGGUAGGACUACCCGCUGAACUUAAGCAUAUCAA
rnacentral:rRNA from 1 species